CUCAGGAUGAACGCUAGCGGCAGGCUUAACACAUGCAAGUCGAGGGGCAGCGCGGGAUAGCAAUAUCCUGGCGGCGACCGGCGGAAGGGUGCGUAACGCGUGAGCGACAUGCCCGUUGCCCGGGGACAACCGGUGGAAACGCCGACUAAUCCCCGAUGGGAUACGAUGCCUCAUGGCAUUGUAUUGAAAGUUACGGCGGCGACGGAUUGGCUCGCGUCCGAUUAGCUUGUUGGCGGGGUAACGGCCCACCAAGGCUGCGAUCGGUAGGGGUUCUGAGAGGAAGGCCCCCCACAAUGGGACUGAGACACGGCCCAUACUCCUACGGGAGGCAGCAGUGAGGAAUAUUGGUCAAUGGGCGGAAGCCUGAACCAGCCAUGCCGCGUGCGGGAAGGAGGCCCUAUGGGCUGUGAACCGCUUUUGCCUGGGGGCAAUAAGGGCGUCGCGCACGUCCGAUGAGAGUACCAGGCGAAUAAGCAUCGGCUAACUCCGUGCCAGCAGCCGCGGUAAUACGGGGGAUGCGAGCGUUAUCCGGAUUCAUUGGGUUUAAAGGGUGCGUAGGCUGUGCGUCAAGUCGGGGGUGAAAUUCCGGUGCUCAACACCGGGGCUGCCCUUGAUACUGUCGCGCUGGAGUGCGGAUGCCGCCGGAGGAAUGAGUGGUGUAGCGGUGAAAUGCUUAGAUAUCACUCAGAACACCGAUUGCGAAGGCAUCUGGCGAAUCCGUAACUGACGCUGAGGCACGAAAGCGUGGGGAUAGAACAGGAUUAGAUACCCUGGUAUUCCACGCCGUAAACGAUGAUGGCUAACCGCCGGCGACACACUGUCGGUGGCCAAGCGAAAGCGAUAAGCCAUCCACCUGGGGAGUACGUCGGCAACGAUGAAACUCAAAGGAAUUGACGGGGGCCCGCACAAGCGGAGGAACAUGUG
rnacentral:rRNA from 1 species